UACGUAGGGUGCAAGCGUUAAUCGGAAUUACUGGGCGUAAAGCGUGCGCAGGCGGUUAUGCAAGACAGAUGUGAAAUCCCCGGGCUCAACCUGGGAACUGCCAUUUGUGACUGCAAGGCUAGAGUACGGUAGAGGGGAUGGAAUUCCGCGUGUAGCAGUGAAAUGCGUAGAUAUGCGGAGGAACACCGAUGGCGAAGGCAAUCCCCUGGACCUGUACUGACGCUCAUGCACGAAAGGCGUGGGGAGCAAACAGG
rnacentral:rRNA from 1 species